rnacentral:lncRNA from 1 species
GCGUCCUCUUCCUCUCUAUCUCUUCUUUCUCAUUGAAGUGCUGGUUUUGAUUUGGUAUUUAAUUGAUCACGGCUAUCAUUUUAUCAUUGCUUAAGCAUGCCUUUGAGUGGAUUGUUGAUACUGUUUAUAAGUGACGGGUUUGUUUGUAGUCUCUUUUAUGUUGUUUGUUACUAUAAUCGGGAAAACUUAAGAUGAUCCUUUUUUUUUUCUCUACAAAUCUCACUGAACUGUGAUUUUUCUCAUAUUAGUGAUUCUUGUAGGGAUAAGUUGAAUGAUUCGAAAACCAUUUCCUCAAAACUUCAUCAUGGAUUGCUAAUUUUCUGUGAUUACCAAGAGAACUUAUGUUGAAUUACUGUCUUUAUAUGCAUGCAGUAAUUUUAUCUUUUUUGUUUCUGCUAUGUUCAGAGUUCCUGUCUAUGGCUAUGUCGGUUGGACCGGUUGAGAAUGAAGCAUCGUUAAGUAGUGAUCUCUUCUAUGAUAUAUUGAGGCGUCUUGAUGGCCCCACAUUGGCCAGUGCAGCUUGUGCUUGUGCUGCGUUCUGUUCCAUUUCAAAAGAAGAGAAAUUGUGGGAUAAUGUUUGUUCUUCUAUGUGGCCUUCCACGAACAGGGAAGAUGUUAGAAGUUUAAUAUCGUCAAUUGGUGGAUUCAGA